GCGGCGGCGGCGGCGGGAGCGCAGGCGGGCCCCGCCGUCCCCCGUCACCCUCCAGGAGCAGGUGAGCCACUGACUAACGCACAUUGUGCUCUCGGCGACUCCACUGUGCGUGUGACAGCGGCUAACCUGCUCCUCGGACAUCACUGUGCGGCCGCCUCGCUUCCCCGGACCCACGUCUCGAAGCCUCGACGCCCUCCUGCCCUCUGGGCCAGCCAGGUGAGGGGCUCCGGCGUGCCAAGGAGUCUGCUCCCCAUCCAUCGGCACUGUCCUGCCUCCAGCGCUUCUCCGUCCUCGGCCCUGCGGACCCCCCAUGCGCUGCCGGGAGCGCUCCAGCAUCGGCCGCACUUGCACGGGGAGCGCCAGAAGAUUCCUGCAGCGGGGCUCGGUGUGUCCGGCGGCAGCGGAGACGGAGGGAACGGGCCUUGUCGGCAUGUGGGUGCCAAUAGUUGGUGGUAAAGUUGUUCAGGAGGGAUGGCGUGCCCCCGUCUCUGCUCCCUUGCUCUUCUCCAAAGUAAAUAAGUGCUAGCGGACUCCGUACCAAGUUAGAGACGCAUCAUCCCGGCCGGUGACGUCUUGAGAGCCGGUCAGUGACUAACUGAACUGCUAUUGCCAAGGGUGUGUUAGUAGAAGAAACUCUGCCUAGUAUUGCCCUGGAUGAGUCACAGUUAAAGAGAGACUCUAGUCUGUUAAAGGAAAAGCAGAAACGAGCCUCACUUUCCUUUUUUGUUGCUUUUUUUUUCCAUCCCCCCCCCUCACCUUUGCUCACUGGUUUUUUCCUCUUGUGCCAGGGCUCUAUUGGCCCCCCGGCCCUGGCUGGGCAUUUGCAGAGCUGCCUUGUCUGAUGUGCUGUGAUGUCACGUAGGGGACUCUGACUUCAUGGCCCUGAGGAACAGGAAGGCGAACCAGGCAGGGACUUUUUCAGCCACCCAGGGUGGCUGUCACCAAAAACGGAGGAAGUGACAAAGCAGAUGGUUUCUCCUACAAAGUUAUUUUUUGGCUGGUGAAGAAGCUGGGUAGUUGAAAAGUGUAUUUUCUGAAGAGCAGCACAGCUUCAUUUUCAGCUGAAGUUCCUAAUAACCAGCUAGGAUUCACUGAAAGGGCUCAGUUAUUCCCCUGCUCCUGGGGCUGCUCUCAUGUAGUCCUAGGCUGUUGUAAAGGGUUGAUAUGAAGGGAUUGCCAGUGCUCUGGUCAAUAAAUAGUUAAUUGCACAAAAGGCAGAGCAAGGUCCUUUGUUGGUAAAGUGUAUCUCUGAGAAAUUUUGCCUGUCCCUAUCUCUCCUUCAUUCUCUUGUCAUUACUGCCUCUGGCUCCCCAGAGAAACAUCUGCUCUUAGGAAAACUCCCUCUGUGCCGUGUGUUUCCGUAGUGCUCAAACACCCUGGGAAGAUGGAAAAACCAACUGAAUUUACCCAAGAUGCUUUCAUGUUUGUUCAGAAGCCAAAUGGGCCUUUUUUUUCAUGGGGGGCAGAGUUGGGUUCUCAGCCUCAGAUUGCUUUUUUCUUCCCUAGCUGCACCUACAGCAUCUUCCCACUGCUGAUCCCGAGCAGGCAGGAGCACAGAGUAGCCACUCAGAGAAAGGGAGAGAGGGAGGGAAACCUGGUGCAAAAUCCAUCCUUGUACGAGCGUGUCUGGGAGCUGAAACUGAAGGCCACAGUCCCCUGCCACCCCAUUUUAUGGGUGACCAUGCAUGUAACAAACCUGUGUCUGAAAAUGAAGGUGCUUUGUUUCUCUUUGAAUACACAGCUCUGCGUUUGGGACUGUGCUGGCUGAUGACUUGCCCCUGGGAGAUGCCGCUGGCAGAAGCAGCUCUGCAGGUUGCCUGGCAAGACCUGUCCCAGUUCCCAUGAGCAACACUAUGGUAUGAAUGCUUCCGGCUUCCUGCUACCAAUGGAACCAUCCUGUUCAGCUCCAGUAAGCAAAGGGAAGGGGUUGAAGUUUUCUUGGUUUUGCUCUUUUUGUGUGUGUCUCCAGUAAAUGGGGGGAGCAUCCAGCUCAAUUCCUGUUUUUAACAUUCUUCUGGCAUGAUUCAAAAAAUACCUGCUGUGCUGUCACCUCAAGUCUCCAAUAAAUGUGCAAAACCA